rnacentral:lncRNA from 1 species
CAAGUGUUCUAUGGACAGAAUAUUUCCAGCAAUUACGGACUAAAAAAUAUCCUAACCAACAAUCAAUUAACUUUGCAAUCAAGAAUCAAGUGGCCAAUUUGAUCAAAACAACAAAGCAAUCUUAGAAUUAAGCACAAUUGCAUGAAUAUUGAAUAAAUCAAAAGCAAACACUUUAUGUUCAGAUCUCACAAACCUUUAAACAACCUUAGUUUCAACCAAACUUCAACUAGAAAUAAGGGUUUCAGCCACUCAUGGCUGAACCAAAACAGAAAAUAAAAGAAAAGAAGAUGAAGAACCAAAGUGUGGGGAGGCUUGGAGAGCCUUGCCGAAUUCUUGAAAGAGAG